rnacentral:lncRNA from 1 species
CACAUGCUUAAAAAUGUAAUAAUACCGUAAGCCUCAAAUUCCAUCCCAAACUAAUGUCAGCAUAAAACCCAAAAACCAGUUAAUGUAUUCACAGUAAUUGACAUUCGAAAAAUCUAUGGAUGCUCACAAUAUUUAUGUUUGCUUUAUUACAAGAAAAUUAAGCAACGCAAAACUGUUAUUGAUCUGUAAUUAAUCAAAUGCCCAAAUUGUAUGGUGAAUCAAACAUGGAGAUAUCAUGAGAGUUUUUUUAAAACAAUUAAUGCACAAAUGAUAUCUCCAUAUGCAGUGGCGAAGCCAGGAAUUUUCUGGAGGAGGGGCGAAAUAUUCAAAAGAGGAUUUGGACUAUUCAAAAUAGUCGAAGGAGGGUUUGAACAACAAUAUUAUUUGAAGGAUGAUUUAGCACCGUUUCUCGUUGUAUCGUCCUAUUACUUAAUUGUAUAAUUAGCAAAGUUUUAAAAGAUGCUAAGCUCUAAUCAAGCGAUGGACAUGACUUUACACUUAGGCGAGGGCGUAGGCAAAUUUGAAUAAAUUUUAUUAUAUACCGUAUAAAUAAUUGUCUAUUUAUUAUAUAGCUUAUAAUAUCCAAAAAAUAUUUAUUAUAAAACAUAUAAUAUAUAAAAAUAUUGACAAAUUUUCUUUAUUACUUUGUUGAAUUUGAUGGGAAGAGAAAGAAAUAAAAUAAUGAGGAGUUCGUAAUAUUUUACAAAUUAUUUUUUGAAGCUUGUAUAAAUUUAUAAUGAAUUUUAAGAUAAAUAAUAGUGUCAAACAAAUGGCUUAAAAAUAUUAAAAGAGUGGUCAAAUAAAAAUCUGACAAUAAUUAAAAAAUAAAACAAAGCAGGUUAGGUGGUGCCAAUUGAUUGGCCAAUAUUUAAAAAAAAAACAAAUUGUAAUUAAGAAAGGUCACGUGGGAUGGGAGAGAGAGAAAGUCUCUCUCUUCUUCCUUUCUCUUCUUCUUCGUUAGAACCAGAGUUCCAUAACUUAUUUUCCUUUCUCCAGAAAUUGCAAAAUGCAGAUCUUCGUUCCUCCUUUCUUUGGCCUAUGUUUUUUUUUUGUGGAAAAUAAGAGAGCACGCGAUCAGCCUGUGCUGGGAUAGAGCAGGGACAUCCAAAAGACCGAAAACCAUACGGAAUUUCAUCACAUUCGACGAGACCAGAGGGGCGGAACCACCACUCCUGGGCUUGAUUUCCGGCGAGGGGAGGGGCGGCCGCCACUCCUCGCCCUCACGUAGCUUCGCCACUGUCCAUAUGCAUACAGAUUUCAUUCAUAUAUGCUAUUAUAUAUAAAUCACAAAGCAAUUGACAUCCACUUUAUAUAUGCAUUUGUAUUUGUUGCUUUAUAAUACAUGUCGACUUGCAUAUGAUAUGCAGUCAAAUCCAUUCC